rnacentral:tRNA from 1 species
GAAAAUUUAGUUAAAUUAAUAACAUUAGUUUGUCAAACUAAAAUUAAUAAAUCUUAUUAAUUUUCU